ACGGGCCAUACCACCCUGAAUGCGCCUGAUCUGUCUGAUCUCGGAAGCUAAGCAGGAUCGGGCCUGGUUAGUACUUGGAUGGGAUAUGGAAAUCCCAGAGAGAGACCCUUC
rnacentral:rRNA from 1 species